rnacentral:rRNA from 1 species
UACGUAGGCAGCGAGCGUUGUUCGGAGUUACUGGGCGUAAAGGGUGUGUAGGCGGUCUUCUAAGUCUGGUGUGAAAUCUCCCGGCUCAACUGGGAGGGUGCGCCGGAAACUGGAAGGCUAGAGUGCGGGAUGGGAGAGUGGAAUUCCUGGUGUAGCGGUGAAAUGCGUAGAUAUCAGGAGGAACACCUGUGGUGUAGACGGCUCUCUGGACCGCAACUGGCGCUGAGACACGAAAGUGUGGGUAG